AUUGAACGCUGGCGGCAGGCUUAACACAUGCAAGUCGAGCGAGCGGCGGACGGGUGAGUAAUGUCUGGGAAUCUGCCUGAUGGAGGGGGAUAACUACUGGAUACGGUAGCUAAUACCGCAUACCAUCGGAUGUGCCCAGAUGGGAUUAGCUAGUAGGUGGGGUAAAGGCUCACCUAGGCGACGCUCCGUAGCUGGUCUGAGAGGAUGACCAGCCACACUGGAACUGAGACACGGUCCAGACUCCUACGGGAGGCAGCAGUGGGGAAUAUUGCACAAUGGGCGCAAGCCUGAUGCAGCCAUGCCGCGUGUGUGAAGAAGGCCUUCGGGUUGUAAAGCACUUUCAGCGAGGAGGCGUUACUCGCAGAAGAAGCACCGGCUAACUCCGUGCCAGCAGCCGCGGUAAUAC
rnacentral:rRNA from 1 species